AGAACUAACCUAAACAUCACCACGAGGAAGCAACGGGUAAACCCAGAAAGUGGGGCACCCUGCAAAACAUCUCUCCCAGGCUUUCACUAGACACACCCUAAGGAAGAGGCUCCACUGGAUAAAGAAAAGGGAAGGGUCCGGAGCUCGAUGAAGAAAACACCCCAAAUAGAAUGCAGACAGCAAGGAGUGUGCACUGCAAAGUGACAAAGAACCCUGAACUGAGCUCACAGGUUACUUUUACAGUUUUAACCUCCUAAGGGAGAAAACUC